rnacentral:rRNA from 1 species
CCUACGGGUGGCAGCAGUGAGGAAUAUUGGUCAAUGGACGAGAGUCUGAACCAGCCAAGUAGCGUGAAGGAUGACUGCCCUAUGGGUUGUAAACUUCUUUUAUAUGGGAAUAAAAUGUUCCACGUGUGGGAUUUUGUAUGUACCAUAUGAAUAAGGAUCGGCUAACUCCGUGCCAGCAGCCGCGGUAAUACGGAGGAUCCGAGCGUUAUCCGGAUUUAUUGGGUUUAAAGGGAGCGUAGGUGGAUUGUUAAGUCAGUUGUGAAAGUUUGCGGCUCAACCGUAAAAUUGCAGUUGAAACUGGCAGUCUUGAGUACAGUAGAGGUGGGCGGAAUUCGUGGUGUAGCGGUGAAAUGCUUAGAUAUCACAAAGAACUCCGAUUGCGAAGGCAGUUCACUGGACUGCAACUGACACUGAGGCUCGAAAGUGUGGGUAUCAAACAGGAUUAGAUACCCUAGUAGUC